GGAGGGUUGUCCGAGCGGCCGAUGGAGCUGGUCUUUGAAAACCAGUGGGCAGAGAUGUCUCGUGGGUUCGAAUCCCACACCCUCCG
rnacentral:tRNA from 1 species